rnacentral:rRNA from 1 species
UACGGAGGGUGCGAGCGUUGUCCGGAAUCACUGGGCGUAAAGGGCGCGUAGGCGGCUGGGGAAGUCGGCGGUGAAAGCCCGGAGCUCAACUCCGGGUCGGCCGUCGAGACUCCUCGGGCUCGAGCUCACUAGAGGCAGAUGGAAUUCCCGGGUGUAGCGGUGGAAUGCGUAGAGAUCCGGAAGAACACCGGUGGCGAAGGCGGUCUGCUGGGGGUGAGGCUGACGCUGAUGCGCGACAGCG